rnacentral:rRNA from 1 species
UACGAAGGGGGGCUAGCGUUGCUCGGAAUUACUGGGCGUAAAGCGCACGUAGGCGGAUUGUUAAGUCGGGGGUGAAAUCCUGGAGCUCAACUCCAGAACUGCCUUCGAUACUGGCGAUCUCGAGUUCGGGAGAGGUGAGUGGAACUGCGAGUGUAGAGGUGAAAUUCGUAGAUAUUCGCAAGAACACCAGUGGCGAAGGCGGCCUCACUGGCC